GACGAACCGGAGCGAACGUUAUUCGGAAUCACUGGGCUUAAAGGGCGCGUAGGCGGGCCGUCAAGUCCGGGGUGAAAGCCUCCAGCUCAACUGGAGAAGUGCCUCGGAUACUGGCGGCCUCGAGGGAGAUAGGGGCGUGCGGAACUUCCGGUGGAGCGGUGAAAUGCGUAGAUAUCGGAAGGAACACCGGUGGCGAAAGCGGCGCGCUGGAUCUCUUCUGACGCUGAGGCGCGAAAGCCAGGGGAGCGAACGGG
rnacentral:rRNA from 1 species